rnacentral:rRNA from 1 species
CUAACGAGGAUUCCCCCAGUAACUGCGAGUGAACGGGGACGAGCCCAUCGCCGAAGCCCCCGCGGUCACCGCGGCGGGCAAUGUGGCGUACCGGGGUGGCCGAGAUGUCGACCGGCGGGUCGCUCCCUCAAGUCCGCGUGACCGUGGCUCUCGCCCCUCGAGGGUGAAAGGCCCGUCGUGGGAGCGAGCUUUCCCCGCCGGCGGACUCGGCGUCGCCUCUGCAUCGAGUCGGAUUGCUUGAGAGUGUAAUCUUAAGCGGGUGGUAAAUUCCAUCCAAGGCUAAACAGUUCCACGAGACCGAUAGCAAACAAGUACCGUGAGGGAAAGUUGCAAAGAACUCUGAAGAGAGGGUUCAAAAGAACGUGAAACCGCUCGGUGGUAACCGGGAAGGAGCCUCGAAGCGCCAACGAGGAUCUGGGGGAUUCAGCCGGGACGUGGGCGGCGACCUCGCGGGUUUACUUGCUCUCUUCCCCCUCGGUGCGUUCGCGCGUGCCGGGGUGCGGAAGACGGAUCCGCCAUCGGCCUCUUUACGGGGGUUCGAGAACGGACCGGGCCUGCGUCGUUUCCGGGUCGCCCCGCCCCGGUGCACUUCCCCCGCGGCCUCCACUGGUACGCCGCGACCGGACGGAUGGGAGGGUCUGCGUGUGUGGCGCGGUAGCCGACCGCCCCCCGCGCCUUGUGCGCGGCACCCAUUUAGGGGGGGUCUAGCCGCAUUUUCUCCCACCCUUCCCCGAAACUUCCGGGGAGGGGGCCCUCAACCCUAUCCGUCCGCGAAGCUAGAGUCGAACGCACACAACUUCGGUUGUGUUGCUCGGCGGGCCCGCCGCGUCUCCCCUAGGUCGCCACGCUCCGGAACCUCGUGUUCGGGACGACGGCUCUAGGGGGACGGCUCGUGUGGCGGGUUUCUGCGAGCCUGCCGUCUUCAAACAACGGCCACGUGUCGGCGGCGAAGUAGAACGGCUUCCUUCCCGACCCGUCUUGAAACACGGACCAAGGAGUCUAACCUGUACGCGAGUCGUGGGGCCUGGUCGCCAAGCCACGCCACGGCGCAGUGAAAGCGAGAGGAGCUCUCGACCGCUCCGCAGCGGGCGUGAUCGCUUACUCGAAAGAGGAGGCGCGCAACGCCGACCCGUGCCGGCCGCCUCGUCGGCGGCACGGAGUCCGAGCGUACACGUUGGGACCCGAAAGAUGGUGAUCUAUGCCAGGGCAGGGCGAAGCCAGAGGAAACUCUGGUGGAGGCCCGCCGCGAUUCUGACGUGCAAAUCGAUCGUCUGACCUUGGCAUAGGGGCGAAAGACUAAUCGAACCAUCUAGUAGCUGGUUCCUUCCGAAGUUUCCCUCAGGAUAGCUGGCACGAUAAAGCAAUCGCAUCCAGUCGAGCGAAUGAUUAGAGGCCUUGGGGCCGAAACGAUCUCAACCUAUUCUCAAACUCACAAUGGUUGCAAGCGGACGGUCUACUUGAAUCUCUCGUGAGACCGCCCGAUACGAUGUGCGUGCCCAGUGGGCUUGUUUUGGUAAGCAGAACUGGCGAUGUGGGAUGAACCGAACGCCGACCUACGGCCCCAGAAUCACGCUCAUUAGACCCCACGAAAGGUGUUGGUUGCUUUGGACAGCAGGACGGUGGCCAUGGAAGUUGGAAUCCGCUAAGGAGUGUGUAACAACUCACCUGCCGAAGCAACCAGCCCUGAAAAUGGAUGGCGCUAACGCGUGAUCAGCCUAUGGUCGGCUGACAGACGCCUACCGUCUGUCAUGUAGGAAGGCGAGACGACGAGCGGCGAAGGGGUUUUAGGCGUGAGCCUGCCCGGAGCCGUCGUCUGCGCAGAUCUUGGUGGUAGUAGCAAAUACUCCAGUGGGACCCUGGAGGACUGACGUGGAGAAGGCUUCCAUGGGAACAGCCGUUGGCCAUGGGUCAGUCGAUCCUAAGGGACGGGACAACUCCUGUCGAAAAGUGACGGGCGCAGUCGUGCCACUCUGUUGGUCGUUGCGUGCCUCGACACCCGAAAGGGAAGCGGGUUAAUAUUCCCGCACCCGGACACGGCAGAUCUCUCGGCGGGCGAGGGUGGGGGGAGCUCGCCUCUCUAUCCAUCCCGCCACCGGGCAAGGGGCGGUAACGUCCUCUCUCUCGGAGACGUCGGCGGCGGGCCCGGGAAGAGUUUUCUCUUCUUGUUAAGGGACGAGCUCCCUGGAACUGAAUCGUUCGGAGCAAGGGACUCGGUUCCCGCAAAGCACCGCGGCUCCAGCGGUGUCCGAGGUUCCGUCGCCGGCCCUUGAAAAUCCGAGACGAGUCGCACGAUCUCCGUGCCGGAUCGUACCCAUAUCCGCAUCAGGUCUCCGAGGUUAACAGCCUUUAGUGGCUAGACGAAUGUGGGUAAGGGAAGUCGGCAACCUGGAUCCGUACCUUCGGAAGAAGGAUUGGCUCUGAGGGCUGGGCCGGCCGGGCUGCUGCCCGAAGUGGGCGCGGAGCCGUACCGGGACUGGGCGAAUCGGUCGCGGACCCGGGG